AUCUAUGGCCAUGCCACCCUGAACACGCCAGAUUUCGGAAGCUAAGCAGGAUUGGGUCUGGUUAGUACUUGGAUGGGUGACCACCUAGGAAUACCAGGUGCUAUAGGCA
rnacentral:rRNA from 1 species